rnacentral:rRNA from 1 species
UACAGAGGUCUCAAGCGUUUGUUCGGAUUCAUUGGGCGUAAAGGGUGCGUAGGCGGCGCGGUAAGUCGGGGUGUGAAAUCCCGGGGCUUAACCUCGGGACUGCAUUCGAUACUGGCGUGCUUGAGGACUGGAGAGGAGACUGGAAUUCAUGGUGUAGCAGUGAAAUGCGUAGAGAUCAUGAGGAAGACCAGUGGCGAAGGCGGGUCUCUGGACAGUUCCUGACACUGAGGCACGGAAGGCCAGGGGGAGCGAAACGGGG